CUGAGCGAUACAGACACAACAGAGAACAAACCACUAGUUUUGGUAAGUAUUUAAAGCUACCAACAGUGUCUAAUAUGAUUUUCGGGAGAGACACAGAGGUCAUGGGAAGGUGCUUAAAAUUUAUUGCUAUCGAGAAUUGUUUUUGAGGGCUGGAGAGAUGGCUCAGUGGUUAAGCGCACUGGCUUAACCUGAGUUCAAUUCCCUGCAACCAUAUCGUGGCUUAGAGCCAAUGCCCUCUUCUGGUGUGUCUGAAGACAGCAACAAUGUACUCAUAUACAUAAAAUAAAUAAAAAUUAAAAAAAAGAUUGUCUCUGAAACCAGAAGUACCUACUCUGGCAGUAACCUUGAAGACCUGCGUAUGUCAGCUCUAUUUUCUCUCUCUUUGAGUAGCUGUUUUUAGGGCUUGGUUCACAAGACUGAAUACAGCAGCUGCCUGCUAAAAUCUCGUACAGUGAGUUCUUUUGCUCCUGGAGAAUGACUGGAAGGCUCAGAAUCUAAGAUCGUCCCUUCACCAUGACUUGCUCUCAAGAGCAAUUCAUUCCCAGUGUUAAUGGGCACAGCCGGAGCUACAUUUAUUAUUGCUCAAGAGAGGAAAGUUCAUGUGUCAGCAGUCGUGGGAGCAUCUGGAGAAAAGCAACAUGCCACCUAAGAUAGAA
rnacentral:lncRNA from 1 species